rnacentral:snoRNA from 1 species
CUCCUCCACACAGGUAUUUACCAGACUGUUCUUUCACUGACUGUCUAGAAAGAGGAGGCAGAGUGACCCUACCCCAUAGACACCUCAACCCAGGCCCUGUGCCUGGUCUGUAUUGUGAAUGGGGGGAGAGGG